CUUCUAUCGCAAAUAUUUGAAUUUGAUUUUAUAGAGGCAACGUGAUAGCUUGUUUAUAAAUUGAAACCAUGAGCUCUAAUGUAAUACAAAUACAAGAGAUUCAUAACUGGUUGAAAAUUAUUUAUCAAAAUGAAAAUAUACCAACAUUUGAAAUUAAUAACAGGACUUUAAACAUUCUUUCUUCUAUAAUGACUCGCUAUCAA